rnacentral:rRNA from 1 species
GAGUACGGCCGCAAGGUUAAAACUCAAAUGAAUUGACGGGGGCCCGCACAAGCGGUGGAGCAUGUGGUUUAAUUCGAUGCAACGCGAAGAACCUUACCUGGUCUUGACAUCCACAGAACUUAGCAGAGAUGCUUUGGUGCCUUCGGGAACUGUGAGACAGGUGCUGCAUGGCUGUCGUCAGCUCGUGUUGUGAAAUGUUGGGUUAAGUCCCGCAACGAGCGCAACCCUUAUCCUUUGUUGCCAGCGGU